ensembl:ncRNA Y110A7A.24 ncRNA
CACUUGGACACCUGACAAACUGACAGACAUUGGCAGGACAGCACAAAUAGUUGAUGGAUGAGCUGUGAGUUGGCUCGGUUAUGAUGAGCGAAAAGAUGAUUGAACAAAUCGGUUUUGUAGAUGGAAGAUGAAAUUGAAAAAGAAGGAGUGGGAGAGCGAAAGAAACAACACGCAUAUAGAAAAAAAUAUGACUGAUUCGAUUUCCUGUUGGGGCUCUAACCUAUUGACAAGUUUUUUUUUCUCUUGAAUAAUGUGGAAAAAUUCUAUUGUAAUGUUUUUGAUAUGCGUAGUGUAUAUAGAAGCCUUGCAAUGUUUAUUUUCAUAAAACUGAAAACAAU